GAUGAACGCUGGCGGCGUGCCUAAUACAUGCAAGUCGAGCGAACGGACGAGAAGCUUGCUUCUCUGAUGUUAGCGGCGGACGGGUGAGUAACACGUGGAUAACCUACCUAUAAGACUGGGAUAACUUCGGGAAACCGGAGCUAAUACCGGAUAAUAUUUUGAACCGCAUGGUUCAAAAGUGAAAGACGGUCUUGCUGUCACUUAUAGAUGGAUCCGCGCUGCAUUAGCUAGUUGGUAAGGUAACGGCUUACCAAGGCAACGAUGCAUAGCCGACCUGAGAGGGUGAUCGGCCACACUGGAACUGAGACACGGUCCAGACUCCUACGGGAGGCAGCAGUAGGAAAUCUUCCGCAAUGGGCGAAAGCCUGACGGAGCAACGCCGCGUGAGUGAUGAAGGUAUUCGGAUCGUAAAACUCUGUUAUUAGGGAAGAACAUAUGUGUAAGUAACUGUGCACAUCUUGACGGUACCUAAUCAGAAAGCCACGGCUAACUACGUG
rnacentral:rRNA from 1 species